rnacentral:rRNA from 1 species
AUACGUAGGGGGCGAGCGUUGUCCGGAAUGAUUGGGCGUAAAGGGCGCGUAGGCGGCCCGGUAAGUCUGGAGUGAAAGUCCUGUUUUUAAGAUGGGAAUUGCUUUGGAUACUGUCGGGCUUGAGUGCAGGAGAGGUAAGUGGAAUUCCCAGUGUAGCGGUGAAAUGCGUAGAGAUUGGGAGGAACACCAGUGGCGAAGGCGACUUACUGGACUGUAACUGACGCUGAGGCGCGAAAGUGUGGGGAGCAAACAGGAUUAGAUACCCUGGUAGUCCACACUGUAAAUGAUGAAUGCUAGGUGUAGGGGGUAUCGACCCCUUCUGUGCCGCAGUCAACACAAUAAGCAUUCCGCCUGGGGAGUACGGCCGCAAGGUUGAAACUCAAAGGAAUUGACGGGG